CACCUUGUAAACCCCAACAUGUUAAUUUUCUCUUCAGAAAAUUUGGAGAGCCAUGAGGACUGACAUCUGGGGGCUGAAAUAACACUUGGAGAUCAGGUUUCCAGUGUGAUCAGGGCUCCAGGCUUAAAGAUUGUUCUGAUCUUCAUUCGUGGUCAUGAGCAGGACCCGGGGAGGGGCUGAUCUCUUGACUGCAGUUGGCUUGUCACACGCUGGUCUUCUCUAUAAAAAUCUUAGCCCCAGCUCCUGAUGGUGGAACGCUGCUGACCACUUCCAGUUUGGCACUGCUGGAUUUGAAUCCAUU